rnacentral:rRNA from 2 species
GACGAACGCUGGCGGCGUGCUUAACACAUGCAAGUCGAACGGUGAAGCCCUUCGGGGUGGAUCAGUGGCGAACGGGUGAGUAACACGUGGGGAAUCUGCCCUGAACUCUGGGACAAGCCUUGGAAACGAGGUCUAAUACCGGAUACGACCUUCUCCUGCAUGGGGGUUGGUGGAAAGCUCCGGCGGUUCAGGAUGAUCCCGCGGCCUAUCACCUUCUUGGUGGGGUAAUGGCCUACCAAGGCGACGACAAGUAGCCGGCCUGAGAGGGCGACCGGCCACACUGGGACUGAGACACGGCCCAGACUCCUACGGGAGGCAGCAGUGGGGAAUAUUGCACAAUGGGCGGAAGCCUGAUGCAGCGACGCCGCGUGAGGGAUGACGGCCUUCGGGUUGUAAACCUCUUUCAGCAGGGAAGAAGCGCAAGUGACGGUACCUGCA